rfam:Oryza sativa Japonica Group DNA, chromosome 10, cultivar: Nipponbare, complete sequence.
CAGAACUCCCUCUAUCCCAUUUUAAGUGUCCAACUUUAAUCAUCUGUCUUCCUCUUAUUUAAUUUUUUUUAAUUAGUAUUUUUUAUUGUUAUGAGAUGAUAAAAUAUGAAUAGUACUUUAUAUGUGACUUAUGAUUUUUAAAAUUUUCAAAUAAGACGAACAAUUAAAAUUGUGCACAGGAAAUCAUGGUUACACUUAAA